CUACGUAGCUCAGAGUUUGAUCCUGGCUCAGGACGAACGCUGGCGGCGUGCCUAACACAUGCAAGUCGAACGGGGUAUUUCUUCGGAGAUACUUAGUGGCGAACGGGUGAGUAACGCGUGAGAAACCUGCCUUUCAGUGGGGGACAACAGUUGGAAACGACUGCUAAUACCGCAUAAUGUCAUUUGGGGGCAUCCCUGGAUGACCAAAGAUUUAUUGCUGAAAGAUGGUCUCGCGUCUGAUUAGCUAGAUGGCGGGGUAACGGCCCACCAUGGCGACGAUCAGUAGCCGGUCUGAGAGGAUGAACGGCCACAUUGGGACUGAGAUACGGCCCAG
rnacentral:rRNA from 1 species